rnacentral:rRNA from 2 species
CGAACGCUGGCGGCGUGCCUAAUACAUGCAAGUCGAGCGGACAGAUGGGAGCUUGCUCCCUGAUGUUAGCGGCGGACGGGUGAGUAACACGUGGGUAACCUGCCUGUAAGACUGGGAUAACUCCGGGAAACCGGGGCUAAUACCGGAUGGUUGUCUGAACCGCAUGGUUCAGACAUAAAAGGUGGCUUCGGCUACCACUUACAGAUGGACCCGCGGCGCAUUAGCUAGUUGGUGAGGUAACGGCUCACCAAGGCGACGAUGCGUAGCCGACCUGAGAGGGUGAUCGGCCACACUGGGACUGAGACACGGCCCAGACUCCUACGGGAGGCAGCAGUAGGGAAUCUUCCGCAAUGGACGAAAGUCUGACGGAGCAACGCCGCGUGAGUGAUGAAGGUUUUCGGAUCGUAAAGCUCUGUUGUUAGGGAAGAACAAGUGCCGUCAAAUAGGGCGGCACCUUGACGGUACCUAACCAGAAAGCCACGGCUAAC